AACGUAGGAGACAAACGUUAUCCGGAGUUACUGGGCGUAAAGGGCGUGUAGGUGGUUUCGUAAGUCUGGCGUGAAAUUUUUCGGCUUAACCGGGAAAGGUCGUCGGAUACUGCGGAACUAGAGGACGGUAGAGGCGUGUGGAAUUCCGGGUGUAGUGGUGAAAUGCGUAGAGAUCCGGAGGAGCACCAGUGGCGAAGGCGACACGCUGGGCCGUACCUGACACUGAUGCGCGACAGCAUGGGGAGCAAACAGG
rnacentral:rRNA from 1 species